GCGCCUGUUCAUAAGCCUAUUUAACGAGUUUGCUCACAAGUCAAGUCCUGAACCUAUAAAUGAGCUAGCUCGUGAGCCCUUAAGAAACCGAAUACUACUAAGCUCGAGCUUAACUCGCUUUUUAAACUAGCAUAAAAAUCGAGCUCAAGUUCGAUUUAUUUUCUAAACGAGUCAAACCAAGCCGAGCUUUAUCAAGUCGACCCUCGAGUAGUUCACGAAUAGCUUGGUUCAUUUACAACCCUAAUGAUUUCUAAGGCCUAGCAAAUAAAUGGAAAUGGACCUCAUUAAUUGUAUGCUGAUUGAGGAUUAGAAUUUCCAGAAUAUCCUAAUCAUAUAUUUGUCUUGUUUAACAUGAACAAAAAAGCAUCAUUGAGUCCAGUAAUUCA
rnacentral:misc_RNA from 1 species